GACGAACGCUGGCGGCGUGCUUAACACAUGCAAGUCGAACGGAGUGGCGAACGGGUGAGUAACACGUGGGUGACCUGCCCUGCACUUCGGGAUAAGCCUGGGAAACUGGGUCUAAUACCGGAUAGUGGGGGAUGGGCCCGGGGCCUAUCAGCGUGUUGGUGGGGUAAUGGCCUACCAAGGCGGCGACGUGUUGCCGGCCUGAGAGGGUGGCCGGCCAAAUUGGGACUGAGACACUGCCCAGACGCCUACGGGAGGCAGCAGUGGGGAAGAUUGCACAAGGGGCGGAAGCCUGAUGCAGCGACGCCGCGUGGGGGAUGAAGGCCUUCGGGUUGUAAACUCCUUUCGACAGGGACGCGGUACCUGUAUAAGAAGCACCGGCUAACUACGUGCCAGCAGCCGCGGUAAUAC
rnacentral:rRNA from 1 species